rnacentral:rRNA from 1 species
GAUGAACGCUGACAGAAUGCUUAACACAUGCAAGUCGAUUCGAUUUACCUUCGGGUAUUGAGGAUGGCGGACGGGUGAGUAACGCGUAAGGAACUUGCCUCUUGGUCUGGGACAACUGUUGGAAACGACAGCUAAUACCGGAUAUUAUGAGAUUCUCGCAUGGGAAACUUAUGAAAGCUAUAUGCGCCAAGAGAGAGCCUUGCGUUCCAUUAGCUAGUUGGUGGGGUAACGGCCCACCAAGGCGACGAUGGAUAGCCGGCCUGAGAGGGUGAACGGCCACAAGGGGACUGAGACACGGCCCUUACUCCUACGGGAGGCAGCAGUGGGGAAUAUUGGACAAUGGACCANAAGUCUGAUCCAGCAAUUCUGUGUGCACGAUGAAGGUCUUCGGAUUGUAAAGUGCNUUCAGUUGGGAAGAANNNNGUGACGGUACCAACAGAAGAAGCGACGGCUAAAUACGUGCCAGCAGCCGCGGUAAUACGUAUGUCGCAAGCGUUAUCCGGAUUUAUUGGGCGUAAAGCGCGUCUAGGCGGAAAAAUAAGUCUGAUGUUAAAAUGCGGGGCUCAACUCCGUAUUGCGUUGGAAACUGUUUUUCUAGAGUACUGGAGAGGUGGGCGGAACUACAAGUGUAGAGGUGAA